rnacentral:rRNA from 1 species
AGAUUGAACGCUAGCGGCAUGCCUAACACAUGCAAGUCGAACGGUAACAGGCCCUUCGGGGUGCUGACGAGUGGCGGACGGGUGAGUAAUGCGUAGGAAUCUACCCACGAGUGGGGGAGUAGCCCGGACGAAAUACCGGAUUAAUACCGCAUAUGCCCUACCGGGUAAGACGGGGAGUCGUAGACCUCGCGCUGGUGGAUGAGCCUACGUCCGAUUAGUUAGUUGGUGGGGUAAAGGCCUACCAAGGCUACGAUCGGUAGCUGGUCGUGAGAGGACGACCAGCCACACUGGGACUGAGACACGGCCCGAGACUCCUACGGGAGGGCAGC